CAACCCCCAAGCCCUAUUUGCUUGACGUUGGGAGCUUACAGCUGCUGUAACUCCUUAAAUUUAGUGGCGGAGCUAGGUCAUGCUCUGAGCGUAGUAAUUCUUUUUUCUCGCUCCUGAUGCUGGCUUGUAUCCUGCCGUAAAACCCCCUAAAUUUUAUUCU
rnacentral:misc_RNA from 1 species